rnacentral:rRNA from 1 species
UGGGGAAUUUUGGACAAUGGGCGAAAGCCUGAUCCAGCAAUGCCGCGUGUGUGAAGAAGGCCUUCGGGUUGUAAAGCACUUUUGUCCGGAAAGAAAUCCUUGGCUCUAAUACAGUCGGGGGAUGACGGUACCGGAAGAAUAAGCACCGGCUAACUACGUGCCAGCAGCCGCGGUAAUACGUAGGGUGCAAGCGUUAAUCGGAAUUACUGGGCGUAAAGCGUGCGCAGGCGGUUUGCUAAGACCGAUGUGAAAUCCCCGGGCUCAACCUGGGAACUGCAUUGGUGACUGGCAGGCUAGAGUAUGGCAGAGGGGGGUAGAAUUCCACGUGUAGCAGUGAAAUGCGUAGAGAUGUGGAGGAAUACCGAUGGCGAAGGCAGCCCCCUGGGCCAAUACUGACGCUCAUGCACGAAAGCGUGGGGAGCAAACAGGAUUAGAUACCCUGGUAGUCCACGCCCUAAACGAUGUCAACUAGUUGUUGGGGAUUCAUUUCCUUAGUAACGUACUAACGCGUGAAGUUGACCGCCUGGGGAGUACGGUCG